rnacentral:rRNA from 1 species
AGAGUUUGAUCAUGGCUCAGGAUGAACGCUGACAGAAUGCUUAACACAUGCAAGUCUACUUGAUCCUUCGGGUGAUGGUGGCGGACGGGUGAGUAACGCGUAAAGAACUUGCCCUGCAGUCUGGGACAACAUUUGGAAACGAAUGCUAAUACCGGAUAUUAUGUGAGUUUCGCAUGAAAUUCAUAUGAAAGCUAUAUGCGCUGCAGGAGAGCUUUGCGUCCUAUUAGCUAGUUGGUGAGGUAACGGCUCACCAAGGCCAUGAUAGGUAGCCGGCCUGAGAGGGUGAACGGCCACAAGGGGACUGAGACACGGCCCUUACUCCUACGGGAGGCAGCAGUGGGGAAUAUUGGACAAUGGACCAUAAGUCUGAUCCAGCAAUUCUGUGUGCACGAUGAAGUUUUUCGGAAUGUAAAGUGCUUUCAGUUGGGAAGAAGAAAGUGACGGUACCAACAGAAGAAGCGACGGCUAAAUACGUGCCAGCAGCCGCGGUAAUACGUAUGUCGCAAGCGUUAUCCGGAUUUAUUGGGCGUAAAGCGCGUCUAGGCGGAAAAGUAAGUCUGAUGUGAAAAUGCGGGGCUCAACUCCGUAUUGCGUUGGAAACUGCUUUUCUAGAGUACUGGAGAGGUGGGCGGAACUACAAGUGUAGAGGUGAAAUUCGUAGAUAUUUGUAGGAAUGCCGAUGGAGAAGUCAGCUCACUGGACAGAUACUGACGCUGAAGCGCGAAAGCGUGGGGAGCAAACAGGAUUAGAUACCCUGGUAGU